UACGUAGGGUGCGAGCGUUAAUCGGAAUUACUGGGCGUAAAGGGCGCGUAGGCGGCGUAACAAGUCACUUGUGAAAUCUCCGGGCUUAACUCGGAGCGGUCAAGUGAUACUGUUGUGCUAGAGUGCGGAAGGGGCUACUGGAAUUCUCGGUGUAGCGGUGAAAUGCGUAGAUAUCGAGAGGAACACCUGCGGCGAAGGCGGGUAGCUGGGCCGACACUGACGCUGAUGCGCGAAAGCCAGGGGAGCGAACGGG
rnacentral:rRNA from 1 species